CAGGCAAGUUUGGAGUAAACAAAGUUUGCAGAUUGAAUAUCCUUCCUGAAUGUAUCCAGGAAGCAAUGCAAGAUAAUGUUAAGAAAUGCUGUUGUUCUUUUUCGCACUCUUACAGUGCUUGCCUUUGCUGUUGGACAUGAAGGUCUCCAUGUCCACGGUCCCUCGGGUCCGGUUGUGGCCCAGCUGGGAGGUUCGGUUCUCCUGCCAUGCUUUGUUGAAAGCCCACUGCCUCUGGAAGGUCUGCAGGUGGAAUGGAGAAAGACGGAUUCCGAUUCUCUAGUCGGUCUCUUCCAACAAGGAAAAAGUCGUCCAGAUCUUCAGAGUCAGGGGUUUAGAGGCAGAGUGGACUUUUUUCCACAUGAGCUCACAAAAGGGAACUUCUCCAUCUUACUCAAAAAUGUGGUUGAAGAAGACACUGGAGGUUACAGAUGUAAAGUAAAUACAACUCAAGACUCCAGUGAGGUCAUAAUGGAAGUUAGUAAUAUCUGGAGUCUUGUGGUGACUGGGGCAGACCGAGCCAUCUUUGCCCCUGCGGGUCAGGAUGUUAUACUGAAUUGCUCUGUAGAUUCAAAUGUACCAGCCAGCGAGAUUGAAGAAGUGACCUGGAAAAAAAUGGACAGAGAGAGAGAACAUGACAUAUCUGUCCUGCUUUAUCAAGACAAGAAGAUUUUCCCAGACUCCUCACAUGAGAGCUAUUGGGGGAGAGUUGAUUUCUUUUCUUCUGAAAUCCCGAAAGGAAACUUCUCGCUUAAGCUGAUGGAUGUAAACAUGGAAGAUAAAGGAGAGUUCACGUGUGAGGUCCACACCAGGAACAUGUCAGGACAAACCACUGUGGUUCUGCAAAGAAUUGGUUUAUCGGCCCUUCAUGUGUCCAUAUUGGUGUUGUGCUCUGUUGCACUGGUGCUUUCAGUGGGAUUGUGUGUUCCUGUUUUCAACAAGUUGAGAAGGAAAGUUACUAACAGGAAAUCAAUGACGAUGUACGCUUUGCUAACUCUUUGUCCAAAUAUCUGCAUCUGUAUUGCUUUUGGAUUGUGGUCAUCGGAAGGGAUUUUCUCAGAGAUCGUCGCUUGUUCAGCUGUCAGUAUUGGACGGCCCAUAAUGCUGAUAAAGACCGCACCUUAUCUUGACAGAUUACCCGAUCGUGUGCAGAAAUACGUAAAAGCUUUGGCUGUACCGCUUUACUAUUUGAUACCAGCAGUGGCUUCAUGUUUACUUUUUUUUGAUAAUCUCCUUCAGGCCCAGACAGCAUAUGAACAUAUGAAAACAUUAAUGGCGGUGGUAAUAUCCGUGUCAGUCGCCGCCGCUGUCGUUUUAGCUGUUAUUGAUCUGAAUAUAUUUUCGACUGUGUGCCUCGAAACCUUCAAUGGCGCUUUGCUUGCUCUUUUCAUCCAUCAAUCUAAUAACGCUAAUUUCGACCUUUGUGCAAUCCGUAUUGUGAACAAUCCAUGCAUCAACAAUAUACCGAUAGUUGCAACAUUGCCACCUCUCAUCGUGGCACUGAUGAUGCUUCUGUUUUUUCAAAAGCAUUACUUUCAGCGAAAACCUUUCGGUUGUUUGCAUAUUGCUGUGGCAUCUGUUUUUGUGAGUUUGUUCAGCCUGCUGGAUAUAUCAUUUUUUGUGCUCAUGGGAUUUAUCCUUCAAGAUUUUACCAAAGUAUGGAUAUUUCCAGUUGAGUCGGUAAUCUAUAUCAUUGCGUGGCUAGCAGUGAUUGCUCUACUGCGAAGGCAAAGGCAAGGAUGUUGCUCCCAAUGGAGAGGGCUUGGAUAUUUGUGUUGUGUUGUCAUUGUCUUGUUUCUAAUCAGUGCAAUUGGUGCACUCUGCCUUCAUUUUGCUACGGAGGCCUUGGAACAUAAAAAAGAUCGUGCUGGAUAUGUGGCUUUGGUCAUUUUACUCCAUGUUUUAGCAGCAACAUUGUUGUUCAAACAUCCAACACAUUUGCCGGAUCUUCUUUAUUACAGAGUUUCUUCACGUUAUGAUCUUCAUGUUUGGAUCUGUAGGACUCGUUGUUGUAAAUUCACUCGUUCUUGUCGUGGAACUAUUUCUAAAAUCAGGGAAAGGAGCACGGACUGUAGAAGAUCUACGUGUGAUCGUUUUACCGUUUGAAACUGCGUUUGUUUUGGCUUGGCUCGCUUUGCAAAUCUACAGUGCCUGGAUGAGAUUACAAGUCCGAAUAAAAAAUAAUUUUGAAGAAGGGAGAGUCCCAGCACCUGAGGAAAUGGAGGCUCUUCCUGUCCGACGUAUCUGAGAAGAUCAAUAAACUGAAUCUGCAUAAAAUAUUAUAACCCACACCUUAUCAGUGAAUUAUUGAAGAAACUGUUCAUAUGUUCAAAAGAAACAUUGUGAAAGUAUCGUACAUUUCCAGCUCAUAAAAGACCAAAAUGUGACCCGAGGUAGUUCGGAUAAGCGGUAAAAAAUGAAUAAAUGAAUGAAUGAAUGUUUAACCCAUUACAUUUUGUUACCACUUUUCAAAUUGCCUCUGUCUUGUAUAGUAAAAAUAGUUUGUUGUUUAAGUCUUCAGUAUAUUGGACCCUUCACCCUAUAAAUAAAGAUGCUUCAUUUUAACCUUGAGGAUUAAGUUAUGUGUAAAAAUGUAUUCUUCUUUUGAAAUUGUAAUAAAGCAGAUUUAUGGAUUUCA